CUCAGAUCACAGAGAGGAAAUCAUCAUCAUCAUCAUCACACGGACUCAGAUGGCCCGAGGCGCUGCGUCGUUGAAAUUGGAUAUUUAAGGCAGCGGAGAAAGCAGUUCACGUUCACUCUCAGCGGGCGAGCGGCCAGAGAGGCAGAGAGGGAGUAGACGCGCCGCGCGCUCUGGAACUGACUGACAAAUAAUAUGAGACUACAGUGCUGUGAACGGCUCUUCUCAUAACGUGACCGGGAAGAGAACAAGGUACAGACUGAAAGAGCACCCGUUCAACGCGGAGGCUUUCUGAGGAGGACGGUAGAUGACCGCGAGCGUUCACUUCAGCGUGCGUUACCGGUGCGUCACCUUUCAGAAGAACGCGUGUCACUGAACUCCAGCCGCAGGUCCGAAAUCUUGAGCGGGAUGAAGUGUGCUGUCAGCAUACUGGAAACGCUAAACCGGCUUGUAGGAGGCAGAGAGCUGAGUGUCUCUCAACGAAUAUGUAAUGCAACACCAACUCUGAUUCUGCUGAGACCUGCGAACGAAGGCUUAGGAGGUGCAGAGCAAGGCAGCUGAAGUGGGAGAGCUGAAGGUGACCUGUGGCUGGGCCGGGGGCUGCAACACAGGACAUGGGAGCUGCCUCUCACUCCCGCUCGUGUCUUGUGUUGCAGCCAGUGGAACUGCUGCACUGUCCACAUCAGAGACGGAAGGAAGGAUCACGCUCGGGGAACGUUACACCAUCUUACAGCGGCUGCCUGUGAAAUCAUAACUCUUCUCAUCUUCUUUUGAAAGGAAAACACAAAGCUGAUAAUGAUGUGUAAGUUUCUGAAUAAAAUACAUAAUAGCUUUUCAAAUGAAUGUGAUAAGUGCAAAUGAAUAGCAGUAAGUACUUCUUUGUAAUAGGGUAAGUGAUAUAACACUCAUUUUGUGAUUGGAUAUAUAUUCUUUUAUUCAAAGAAAGAUUAAAAAUGCAAUGUGAAAAAUAAAAAGGUUGUAUUAAUAGGCCAACAUUCAUUUAGUGAAAAAUACUUUGGCGUGAUGUUUUUUCUUGAAUUAAAAAAAAUACAGCUUUGUAAAAUAUUAGUAGUAAUAUGGUCAUAUUUUACAUAAUACUAUAAUAUUUUAGAUAUUAUACAGUACUCUUUAAAAGUUUGGGGACAGUAAGAUUUUUUCCCUUUGAGAAAAAUGUAUACUUUUUUAUUUAUCAAGAAUACAUCAAAUUGAUCAAAAGUAAGUUUAAAAAAAGAUCUGUUUGAAAUAUAUUCUUUUCUAUUAAUGAAAGAAUCCUGAAACAAGUACCAAGGUUUUCAAAUAAAUAAAUAAAAAAAAUGUUUAUACAACAGUUCUUUCUGGUCCUUAAAUCUGAUUGGCUAAGAGGAGUGUGAUAUUCUAGUGAAUUCAGAACGCCAACCGUUUCACCGUUUGUAUCAUUCCACUUGCAGUAUUUUUAAUGGCGGAUGCCCAAAACCACUAUAAUUGUAUAAAUAAUACAGCCCUACCUCAGCCAGAUCUUUUGGAAUUUGCUGCUGGCUCUGAUGUCUCUGUAGUGGUCAAACAUUAAAAAUAAUUAGUUGUGGGUGAAUCUAACAGGUCUUUGGUCUCAUUAAUCUUCUCGUUAAUUUAAUUUAUAAUCACGUAUUUUAUGUAAAUUUAAUGCUGUAUAUCAGAGCACUACCUUUGUACUUUUGACUGUAUUGCCUAGCAACUUUUAUUUUUAUUAUACAAAUAAUAGUAGCCUUUAUUAACAGUAUUUAGUAUUGAGAAACGGUGUGUUUUCAUGAUUUUAGUUACAUUAUUCCACCAUUAGAUGGUGACGAGAGGCUGUUUUAAUGAGCCAGUCAGCAAUAAAGACUUUUAUAUUGAAAGAGACUGAAACAGUGUUGUAAACAAGCAAGUUAUUUUUACUUUCAACAAAAGCUUAUAAGACGCAGCCAACAAAUGCACUCAGCAGCAGGGUUGCCAGAUUUUCACAACAAAAUCCACCCAAUUGCUACUCAAAACUAGCCCAAUCGCGUUUCGAGGAAGUUCCCCUAGUAAAAAUCGUAUUGCGGGGGGUAAAAUACACAUCUUUUGGUGGGGUUCCCCUGGUACAUUUCGCAUACCUGGAGCUAAAUAUAACAUUAUUGGGGUUGCUUCAACCCGCGGACAUGAAUAACAAACUGUGAACUUGGCAACACUGCUGUGCAGUGCUGUCAUUGGAAAUUACCCUUAAUAGAUGAAAGAAUAGCACAACAAAGAUAUCACACCUCAGUGGACAUUCAAAACUAAUGUUUUAUUAUGAAUAUGAGAUUGAGCUGAAGAAUGAAUGCAGGUAAUCACACUCAUUCAGUCCGUCUCUUUCUCAUAAUACGCUACAGUGAGCUUUUAAUGCAGUAAUACAAUAAGCUUUCAAUGAAGCAACUUAAUGUUUCUUUGUUACCAUUUCUAAAAUGACAUUUUCAAAUUAGUAACGGAGGCUUGGUCUCAGCUGUAAAACUGUCAAACUGAGAUUUGAAUUUGUGGCAGAAGAAAGUAGUUUGCACAAAAGAGUGUUUUUAAAGACACUCCAUUAUUGUUUCUUAUGUAUUUACACACUCCUGUCAUCGAACUGUUGUAUAAAUCCAAUAUAUCGCCUUCGUAGCCGUGCGACAUUAACAUUGCUAUUAACAUUGAUAAUAGUAAGAAAUAUUCCUUGAGCAGCAAAUCAGCAUAUUGAACGAUCAUGUGACACUGAAGACUAUUUACACCCCCAAGAAAACCAUGUAAAAUACUAAUCCUUUAAAAAAAAGAGUUUAUGAAACAACAACCCAAACCAAACAACCGUUUUAACUUUUUCAACUAACUCCUAACUAAUUCCUUUUCAUCAUCUUAGACACUUUUAUUUAUCCCAAGUUAAACUAGCAAUUUUGUCCCCUGUAGUAAGUGCAAACAUUUCAGUGUGACAGAGCGAGAACAUGUCAACACUGUCGCACCUGUGUUUAGUUUAGAAAAGCGUAAAAUGCACACUCUGGCUGUCUGGUGUUUUAUAAUGGUCUUUUACCUCCCUCAAGGCUAUGCAUGAAUAACACAGAUGAAGAAGCUUGGCUUUACCUCACACACUUAUAUACAGAUAGAAAUACACAGAGAAAAAGAAAAAAGAUGCCUCAGAUGCAGCAUGUGUAAAUAUUCGGAUCAUGUUGCCACUUUGCCAACUGAGACCCGCCAGAGCUGAAGAAAGGCAAGUGGCGCUGCCCAUUUAAACUUGUGAAAUGAAGUAGUUUUCUGUCAAGGAUGUCACUUGAUUGGAAUUUAAAUCCAACAGUAGCUCAAAGAGAAUUGUUUGUGCCAAACACAUUGUGAUGGGCUGAAUUCUGAAUGCAACAUGACAGGACUGACUGAGCUUUUAUGUGGAAAAGGACAAAACUGCAUUACUCAGUUACCUAUACACUCUCUAACAUGACA